UCUCUCCCCACACUCGCGGAAUGAUACCGCUACUGCCUGAGUAAACAAGGGAAUGGAAAGGAAAACAAAACCACAGACUCCCCACAGCAAACAAAAUGCUUUGGCGUCUUUUUUAAUGGCUACGCGUCUCCAUAUUUUUUUUCCGAGAAAAUCACUGUCUAUCCAUACUGAGACAGCCAAUGAAAGAUGUGUAUCAACAACUCGGUGUGAUGGAUGACCAGCCACCCGCGUGAGGCAGCUGCUUCCCUUCUUAACCACAACAGCCAAUUCACGAAGUGGAGAACGAUAGGCAAACACCUGUGGCCUCUCCAGUGUAUGCAUUGGAAGAACACUUUGCAAAGCAAACGACACUGCACAGCAGCAAAAAUAUUGCAUUUGCCAGGAAAAAGACAGCCUGGGUGGAAACACUAAGUCUGCAACAUGUUCAGGGAGAAGUCAAAUUAUUCAGUUUGCAGGUGAAGAAAUGAUGCUGGAUUUGAAUACAGAAAUAAUUCAACUCAGGAGCAAUA